GCCGUUCUGGCCGAGUGGUCUAAGGCGCUGCGUUCAGGUCGCAGUCCUCUCAGGAGGGCGCAGGUUCGAACCCUGCGGACGGCA
ensembl:tRNA